rnacentral:lncRNA from 1 species
UUUUUCCGCCUUUCCGCGAUAGGGGUUGAUUGUGCUUCCUCGUCCACCCGCGUUCAUCCGUGGGUGAGGAAUAUUACUUGAAUACUUGCCCCCUCCUUUUUUCCGCCUUUCCGCGAUAGGGGCUGAUUGUGCUUCCUCGUCUACCCAUGUUCAUCCGUGGGUGAGGACUUAUUAUUUGAAUACUUGCCCCCUCCUUUUUUCCGCCUUUCUGCGAUAGGGGCUGAUUGUGCUUCCUCGUCUACCCGCGUUCAUCCGUGGGUGAGGAAUAUUACUUGAAUACUUGCCCCCUCCUUUUUUCCGCCUUUCCGUGAUAGGGGCUGAUUGUGCUUCCUCGUCUACCCAUGUUCAUCCGUGGGUGAGGACUUAUUAUUUGAAUACUUGCCCCCUCCUUUUUUCCGCCUUUCUGCGAUAGGGGCUGAUUGUGCUUCCUCGUCUACCCGCGUUCAUCCGUGGGUGAGGAAUAUUACUUGAAUACUUGCCCCCUCCUUUUUUCCGCCUUUCUGCGAUAGGGGCUGAGUGUGACUCCUCGUCUUCCUACGUUCAUCCGUGGGUGAGGAUUGUUCUUGAGUACGUCCCUCGUCUAACCUACGUUCUUCCGUAGGUGAGGUUUACUCUUGGACACUUGCCCUUCUGUCUACAUUUUUGUAGAAUGGGGUGUGUGUUUAGCCGACGUGUUCCCCGUCUAACCUACGUUCUUCCGUAGGUGGGGUUCACUUUUGCUGAUGUGUUCCCCGUCUAACCUACGUUCUUCCGUAGGUGGGGUUCACUUUUGAGUAUGUCCCUCGUCUAACACUACGUUUCCGUAGGUGAGGUUCACUCUU